rnacentral:rRNA from 1 species
UAAUACGGAGGGUGCAAGCGUUAUCCGGAAUCACUGGGUUUAAAGGGUGCGUAGGCGGCCAUGUAAGUCAGUUGUGAAAUACCCCGGCUUAACCGGUGGAAGGGCGAUUGAUACUGCGUGGCUUGAAUCAGGUUGAGGCAGGCGGAAUGUGGCAUGUAGCGGUGAAAUGCUUAGAUAUGCCAUAGAACACCGAUUGCGAAGGCAGCUUGCUGGGCUUCGAUUGACGCUGAGGCACGAAAGCGUGGGGAGCAAACAGGAUUAGAUACCCUGGUAGUCCACGCCCUAAACGAUGUUUACUUGCUGUUCCCUGCUUGCCGGGGAGUGGCGAAGCGAAAGCGAUAAGUAAACCACCUGGGGAGUACGCCGGCAACGGUG